GAGAAACUUGGAUGAAAAGAAACGUGAAACUGAUGUCAAAUCCCAAGCACCAAAACGAACUCUAACCGUUCUAGAGCUAGCUCUCUCCAGCUCCACCAGUAGCUAAGAUUUGCAGAUUUCAGCAGCAAUGUCUCAAGAUUCAGAGAUUAACAGCAACUCCACUGCUUCAUCUUACACCUCAGCUUUCAUUUCCACUUAUGAAAGCUUGAUGAAAAUAGUAUCACAUAUUGAGCUUAGCUCGGAUGUUCUCCGAACAGCUCGUGCUGUUCGACUUACGAAUUGCUUGAGGAAGAACCUGACAGAAGAUACUUUAAUUCAAUAUCUGCUGCAUUUUGGUCUUUUGAAGAAUUCUGAACUGAAUGCUCGACUAUCUUCAUUUCUAAUU